AGGCAUGGAUCAAAGCUGGCGAGACGUUCAAUGAGCCAUCAUCGCAGACGAAUCAACCGUGGCCCUUGAGCAAUUAGCUCAAAAUUGCUACAGAAAAAAGUAAGAUCAAGCAAGCCAAGUCUCAAGCAUCCCUUCAAACUCCAUGUGUGGGGGGCAAUUUCUCGCCAGGGACCAGGCCCAUUUUUUAUGUUUGAUGGUAUCACGGCUCAAGAUUUCUUUGAGGAAGAAAUCUUCAAUAGGUAUACUUAACCCUAUGUCAGAGAGGUGUUUCUGGGACCACAUCGUUUCUUUCAAGACAAUGACCCAAACCAAAUUGAGGGACAACACUGGGCCAAUUGUGUGCCACCAUAUGGGUCUCUCAAUCACAGUUGGAUGAGAUACAGUCUGGAUUCAAACCAGGGACUCUAGUGAUGCCUCUUGCACUGAGAUGCAAUGUCUUAGACCACUGCGCCACUCGGGAGCCAUGACCAAUAGGACCAAUAUAUAUUCUCCAGCUAAUAGCCCAUCCUAGAAACAUGCUCGUGCUAUGCUUGUGAAAAACAUGGUUAAUAAUAAUAAUACUUUUUCCCCCUUCCACUUGUUAAAGUUUCCAAUUGAUAAAGUUUUUUUUAAUCAAUUAGUAUAUUUGAGUUUAACCACAAUAUUUGUUGUAUUAUUUGUUCUGUCUUUUCUGGUGGAUUAAACCAACUUUCUAUGGCUUGUUUUAAAAAAUAACAAUAUUUCGGAGAAUAUUUUAUUUUCAAAAAACCUAAAGUGAGCGAGAAAAAUGCCAUUCUUGAA